rnacentral:rRNA from 1 species
UAAGACGUAGGUGGCAAGCGUUGUUCGGAAUCACUGGGCAUAAAGCGCACGUAGGCGGCUGAGUAAGUCGGAUGUGAAAUACCUCGGCUCAACCGAGGAACUGCGUCCGAUACUGCUCGGCUUGAGGUCCGGAGGGGAGAGUGGAAUUCCCGGUGGAGCGGUGAAAUGCGUAGAGAUCGGGAAGAACGCCGGCGGCGAAAGCGACUCUCUGGUCGGAAUCUGACGCUGAGGUGCGAAAGCUAGGGGAGCAAACGGGAUUAGAUACCCCGGUAGUCCUAGCCAUAAACGAUGGGCGCUAGGUAGUGGUCGUUCCUAUGCGAUCACUGCUGGAGCAAAUGUCUUAAGCGCCCCGCCUGGGAAGUACGGUCGCAAGACUA